GCCUGGCGCUCACUGUGCUUCUGCAGACCUUCGGAAGCACUCGUGCUUUGGAUCUGGCUCACAGCGACCCGACUCUCCUGCUCUCCCAAGUAGCUCAGUACUCCCACUCUCCUCAGUACCCCCACUCUCCCCAGUACCCCCACUCUCCCCAGUACUCACACUCACCCCAGUACCCCAACUCUCCCACUCUCCCCAGUACUCCCACUCUCCCCAGUACCCCAACUCUCCCACUCUCCCCAGUACCCCAGAACUCCCACUCUACCCAGUUCCCCAACUCUCCCACUCUACCCAGUACACGAUGCAUAAAGAGGAGGCGCUCACACAGCGAUAGGUCACAGCACCAUGCAGGAGGACUCGGAGAACCUACUGGCCUUGUGAAGGGAGGAUAUCGUGGCCCGGUACCAUCAGAUUCAUUCUUCGACUCCGUGAGACAAGAACCUGACUUUCUCACUUCAUUCUGCCUGCUGCACUUCUCUUACCCAAGCUCCCUGGGAAAUUACUUCAUUGGCUUAAUCCCAUCUCACUCACCUCCUGCCUCAUAUCCUUUGGAUUCUUCACCACCAAAGGCCAACGAACCAAGAGAUGCAUGGAGGGAUAGAAGACCCAGGUGAUAGGGGGAACUAAGGCCAAAAAAAUAU